rnacentral:rRNA from 1 species
GAGUGAACGCUGGCGGUAGGCCUAACACAUGCAAGUCGAACGGCAGCACAGUAAGAGCUUGCUCUUACGGGUGGCGAGUGGCGGACGGGUGAGGAAUACAUCGGAAUCUACUUUUUCGUGGGGGAUAACGUAGGGAAACUUACGCUAAUACCGCAUACGACCUACGGGUGAAAGCAGGGGAUCUUCGGACCUUGCGCGAUUGAAUGAGCCGAUGUCGGAUUAGCUAGUUGGCGGGGUAAAGGCCCACCAAGGCGACGAUCCGUAGCUGGUCUGAGAGGAUGAUCGGCCACACUGGAACUGAGACACGGUCCAGACUCCUACGGGAGGCAGCAGUGGGGAAUAUUGGACAAUGGGCGCAAGCCUGAUCCAGCCAUACCGCGUGGGUGAAGAAGGCCUUCGGGUUGUAAAGCCCUUUUGUUGGGAAAGAAAAGCAGCAGGUUAAUACCCCGCCGUUCUGACGGUACCCAAAGAAUAAGCACCGGCUAACUUCGUG